AUGUGUGGCGAUUUGCCAAGCUGGUGAAGAUUGCCGAUGAUCGGCAACUUAGGAGGGCUCGGUGGGAGGUUGCUCUUUCUUUUCCUAGGCUUGUUCUUUAAGAGAACUGCAAUUACAGCCGCUAUUACCAAUGUUAGGAGAAACAGAUGCUGAAGGAGAGCCAUUGCCAUUUCACGAGAAACUUGCAUGUUUUGUGAUGUUGCAACAGUGGUCUUGUUUGAUCUGUAUACAAUGUCUCUUCUUAUACAAGGGACUUGUAGAAACCAUCUCAGUUUGCUGAGAAAUCUUUCGGUUUAGUCAAUAAAAGUCAAGUUAGCAGAUGUUACCCUUUCUUUUGGUACUUACCGUGAUAGGUUUGUCAUGGUUCAAGACAUCAGCCCUAGUUGCAAGUUGGCGUUUGUUCCUUCGUCUUAUCCCCUUAGCAUUGCCUCGGGAUAAUCAUCUUGGGUGGGGUUAUGAUAGUAUUCUACCCGGAUAGGGGUAAAAAUAGCAGGAAAUACGAAUGCUGUUGUGACACAAGUUGCCAAACUAUCUAGUGAUCGCUCAGUUACUGGUCUCAGAAUAGUUUGGACUGUUGUGCGGACAACUGGUUUUGUGGUCCUCCUUUUCUAGAUCGAUACGUAGUCGACAGACAGGCCAAUUGUCGGAAGCUCCAUGCCUUUGGAAAAAUCUCAUCGGUCGUGGAAUUGUCGUAGAUUAGAAAGUUCCCUUUCGAUAGAGAU
rnacentral:lncRNA from 1 species